rnacentral:rRNA from 1 species
GACGAACGCUGGCGGCGUGCCUAACACAUGCAAGUCGAACGAAGCAAUUAAGAUGAAGUUUUCGGAUGGAAUCUUGAUUGACUGAGUGGCGGACGGGUGAGUAACGCGUGGAUAACCUGCCUCACACUGGGGGAUAACAGUUAGAAAUGACUGCUAAUACCGCAUAAGCGCACAGUGCCGCAUGGCAGUGUGUGAAAAACUCCGGUGGUGUGAGAUGGAUCCGCGGCUGAUUAGCCAGUUGGCGGGGUAAAGGCCCACCAAAGCUAUGAUCAGUAGCCGAGCUGAGAGGCUGGCCGGCCACAUUGGGACUGAGACACGGCCCAG